GGGGUUGUAGUUAACUAUAACAUUUAAUUUGCAAUUAAAAAGUACUGGAUAAGUCUACCUCA
rnacentral:tRNA from 1 species